AUGCUUACCUGGCAGGGGAGACACCAAGAUCACAAAAGUGGGUUACCCUAGGUGAGGCUUAUCUAGUGCGCUCUGGAUGUGCUGACCCCUGCGAUUUCCCCAAAUGUUGGCAAUUGGACUGCAUAAUUUGUGUCGUGGGGGACUGUGUUCACGCUCUCCCCUG